UUGCGUCUCACCUGUGGUAGAACAGUGAAUUUCGCGAUCGCGUCCGGAUAGGAGACGAAGGCUAGACCGGUCCCACCGCGAACCACAUUGCCGAUGUCGUCCGUGCCGAGUUCGUGGGCCAAGUUGCCUAGUAUACCGAAGAUCGUGAAGCCUGCGAUCAGGCUGGUGAAUGUGUCCAAAGUGGUCACCACUAUCACGUCCCUGCGAAGAUUUUCGACGAAACGAUAAGCGACCCUUGGUGACAAAGGGUUGCUGUACUAGCUAGGAGGAGUACAUGACGACGCCCCCGAAGCAGACCGACAAUGAGAAGAAGCACUGCGUGACGGCGGCGUACCAGACGUUCGCUUCGAACAACUUCGACCAGUCCGGCUUGAUGAAGAAGACGAUCCCCUUCAGGGCUCCCUCGAGUGUCACGGCUCUGACCAGCAAGCUGAUCAUGAUCACGUACGGGAAGAUGGCGAGGAAGUAGGCCGCUUUUCCGGAGCUGUGCACACCCCGCGCCAAAACGCCGAAUAUACAAAGCCACGAGAUCAGCAGGCAGAUCGUCAGCUUCCAGUCCGGCAGUCCGAUGCCGUCGUCGAUGCUCGACUUCUCUCUCAGUACUGUUUUCCUGAUGGUACAAGUUUCUGUAUUGCGAGCGAUCCUCCUCUACGAGCCCCUAAGUGCCCGCGGAGUCAACGCAAGAGUCUCCCCAUUGUUCGAGGCACGUGGCCCAUGGAAGCACCGACUGAAAGCUCGAGAACAAGUACAGGAGAGUGACGGACAUCAAGGAGCAAUAGUAGGUGCCCACGAUCAUCAUGGAGAACAUCUGGGCCCAGCCGACACCGCGAAAUCCUGGUACUGCGAAGCGAUUCUCGUCCGAUUUAUUACGUCUGGGUUAUCGUUCGAAACGGUUUCCAGCCAGAAUGGAGUAAAAGCAAAUUCGCACCUGCCGCCCACAUUUUCACCGAGGACCUGCUGCAGAACUGGCCCAUUAUCAUCUCCAGAUAGUAGAACGGUUUGCCGACCACGAACAAGACGAUGAUGUACGGGAUCAGGAAGACUCCGCCGCCGUUCUCGUAAGCGGUGAACGGGAAUCUCCAAACGUUGCCCAGGCCGAUCGACAUGGCGAUGCAGGACAUCAGGAACUCUAAUCCGUUGUCCCAAGUGGCUCUCUGCUUCUCGUUCUCCGCGAAUGUCUUCAUCAAUUAGGGCAGAUGUGUCAGUUACUGUGACCACUGUUAGCUUUCAAUUCUAUUUCAUGUAUUACAUGUCGGAUAAAUGAAUGAUACUGGAUAGAUCGUUCACGUGUUAACAAACUCGUUAUAAAUGAUGAAAAAACCCGUAUUUUAAGCGAACUAUUUUAUGCAUCGUUUUGGGUUGCUUCUAUGUCUGGAAACUUGACAAGCUUUUGAAAUACCUUGGAAAAGUACUAACUACUAAGUACUGCAAGAAGUACUAAGAGAAAUAUAGAAAGGACUACUUUCUUUAACGAAACAUGCGAAAAGUUAGUAUAAGGGCACAGUAACUGUAACAUCCGCCCUACGUAUCGUUAACCCUCUGCACUAUAACAACGAGUCCGACUUAGAACAAACACGUCGUACAUGAUCUACUAAAUACAAUUCACUAUAUAUACAUA